ensembl:rRNA 5_8S_rRNA 5.8S ribosomal RNA
GACAGUUACCCGUGGAUCACUUGGCUUGUGCGUCGAUGAAGAACACAGCUAGCUGCGAGAAUUGAUGUGAAUUGCAGGACACAUUGAUUAUCCACAUUUUGAUCCGCACUUGUGGCCCCUGGUUCCUCCCGGGGCUACGCCUAUCUGAUCGUCG